CGGCGGACGGGUUAGUAACGCGUGGGAACAUACCCUUCUCUAUGGAAUAGCCUCGGGAAACUGAGAGUAAUACCAUAUACGCCCUUCGGGGGAAAGAUUUAUCGCCAAAGGAUUGGCCCGCGUUGGAUUAGGUAGUUGGUGGGGUAAUGGCCUACCAAGUCUACGAUCUAUAGCUGGUUUGAGAGGAUGAUCAGCAACACUGGGACUGAGACACGGCCCAGACUCC
rnacentral:rRNA from 1 species